rnacentral:piRNA from 1 species
UUUGGUUGUCCCCUGAGAUCCAGGAGGA